rnacentral:lncRNA from 1 species
AUGGAGGACAAAGAACGAGCAGCAAAGCGCGCGCGCCCUGGCCUCGGCGCGGCCCCGAGCGGUGCGCGCGGAACAAACCCCGCCCCUCCUCUCAAUCUACACACACCGAAGCCUGGUCGGUUGCAUAAACUGUUUAGACAAGUCUUAGAAAAAUUAUUCAAAGAUGCCAGAAGGCCCAACUGGAUGUCCAUACUUCGUUUUAUCCAUACAAAUCUUGACUUUGGUGAGUACUUUUGGAUUUUAUUUCGAUAAAGAAAAGAUAGCCUAUUUUUUUUUGCAGAUAAUAUGUCUAAACCCAUGACAUAGGUCUCAUAAAGCGAGAGUGAACUGUUACCAUUUAUGUCUGUUGGUAACUUUGAUGACAAGACUAGACGAGAGCUUAGUUAAUGUCCGUUGUUUAGUUUAAUAACAUCCAUAAGAGGGCAAUAUAGUAUCACAAAUGCGUCCGUUUGAUUUAUGUGUAACACUAGAUGGCAGAAAAUUCUC